ACCGGCCACACUGAGACUGAGAUACCACCCAGACUCAUCCGGUAGGCAGCACUGGGGUAUAUUGCUCAAUGUCAGCAAACCUCAAGCAAAGACCCUUCGUGAGGGAUGUUGGCCUUGAGGUUGUAACCCUCUUUCAGCACAGACGAAAAUUCAAGUCUCGGUAUGUGCAGAAGAAGGCCCGGCCAAUUAAAGCCAGCACAGGCGGUAAUACAAGGGUACGAUCGUUGUCCGAUCAACCACGGCGUAAAGAGCUCGUAGGUGGUUUGUCGCGUUGUUCUCGCAAACUCACAAUCACCGCGUGGGCGGGCAGGCGAUACGGGCAGACUUGAGUACCCCAGGGGAGAACGGAAUUCCUUCACAGCGGUGGAAUGUUCAGAUAUCAGGAGGAACACCGGUGCAGAAGGCGGGUCUGCAUCAGGCAACUGACCAUGAGGAAAUAUUCCCCGGGGAGCCAACAGGAUUAGAUACCCUGGUAAUCCCAGCCGCAAGCGGUGGGUUCACCCUGUCGGUUUCCUUCCCUGGGAUCCGCCCCGUAAGCCACUACUUAAGUACCCAAGCUGAUAAGUCGGGA
rnacentral:rRNA from 1 species